GAUGAACGCUGGCGGCGUGCCUAAUACAUGCAAGUCGAGCGAAGCGGGGACGGGUGAGUAACACGUGGAUAACCUCCUAUAAGACUGGGCUAACUUCGGGAAACCGUGGCUACACCGGAUACUUAUAGAUGGCUCCGCGCUGCAUUAGCUAGUUGGUACGGUAACGGCUUACCAAGGCAACGAUGAAUAGCCGACCUGAGAGGGUGAUCGGCCAAACUGGAAAGGGGACACGGUCCAAACGCCGAAGGGAGGCAGCAGUAGGGAAUCGUCCGACAUGGGCGCAAGCCUGACGGCGCAACGCCGCGUGAGUGAUGAAGGUCUUCGGAUCGUAAAACUCUGUUAUGAGGGAAGCGGUACCUAAUCAGAAAGCCACGGCUAACUACGUGCCAGCAGCCGCGGUAAUAC
rnacentral:rRNA from 1 species